rnacentral:rRNA from 1 species
GGAUUGGGAGGGUUCUACGGAACCCGUUUUGGUGAAUCUAGUGCCGAGAAAAGCCUUCUAUGUGUUGAAUUUCUAGUACCCGUACCCCAAACCGACACAGGUGGGUGGGUAGAGCAUACCUAGGGGCGCGUGAUAACUCUCUCUAAGGAACUCGGCAAAAUGGCCCUGUAACUUCGGGAUAAGGGGUGCCUGCGUGAGCAGGCCGCAGUGAAAUGGCUCUGGCGACUGUUUACCAAAAACACAGGUCUCUGCUAAGUCGUAAGACGAUGUAUAGGGGCUGACUCCUGCCCAGUGCCGGAAGGUUAAGGAAGUUGGUUAGCGCAAGCGAAGCUGGCGACCGAAGCCCCGGUGAACGGCGGCCGUAACUAUAACGGUCCUAAGGUAGCGAAAUUCCUUGUCGGGUAAGUUCCGACCCGCACGAAAGGAGUAACGAUCAGAGCGCUGUCUCGGAGAGAGACACGGCGAAAUAGGAUUGUCCGUGAAGAUACGGACUACCUGCACCCGGACAGAAAGACCCUAUGAAGCUUUACUGUAACUUGGAAUUGUGUUCGGACUUUGUCUGCGCAGAAUAGGUGGGAGGCUAUGAAACGUUCCUCGCGGGGAACUGGAGCCAUCGUUGAGAUACCACUCUGGCAGAGUCUGGAUUCUAACCUACGGGGACAGUUCCAGGUGGGCAGUUUGACUGGGGCGGUCGCCUCCUAAAAUGUAACGGAGGCGCGCAAAGGUUCCCUCAGGCUGGUUGGAAAUCAGCCAUAGAGUGUAAAAGCAUAAGGGAGCUUGACUGUGAGACCUACAAGUCGAGCAGGGACGAAAGUCGGCUUUAGUGAUCCGACGGCACUGAGUGGAAGGGCCGUCGCUCAACGGAUAAAAGUUACUCUAGGAUAACAGGCUGAUCUCCCCCAAGAGUUCACAUCGACGGGGAGGUUUGGCACCUCGAUGUCGGCUCGUCGCAACCUGGGGCGGUAGUACGUCCCAAGGGUUGGGCUGUUCGCCCAUUAAAGCGGCACGUGAGCUGGGUUCAGAACGUCGUGAGACAGUUCGGUCCAUAUCCGGUGUAGGCGUAGGAGCAUUGAAAGGAUCUCUCCUUAGUACGAGAGGACCGGGAGGGACGUACCUCUGGUGUACCUGUUAUCGUGCCAACGGUAAACGCAGGGUAGCCAUGUACGGAGUGGAUAACCGCUGAAAGCAUCUAAGUGGGAAGCCCACCUUAAGAUGAGUGCUCCCUUGAGGCCACGGGAAGACGACCCGUUUGAUAGGCGCUAGGUGGAAGUGCAGUAAUGCAUGCAGCCGAGGCGUACUAAUAGGCCGAUGGC